GCCACGGCGCGGGGAGGGGUGGCAGGCGGCCGCCUGACAGUCCUGUAGUCAGCUGCCGCGCGCUUGUUUAUUCGUACGUAUAUAGCUGUCCGCGUCGCACUGUGACGUCACUCACUGCCGGAACAAGAGCAGAAUUUCCUGCCACGUGUUACUUUCCUUCAACACAACAAACAUGAACAAGAAGGAUAUAGCAACAGGCAAAAGUAAAAGAUACUGUAUUGCUUACUGGUGUCUAAAUGCCAAUGUCAAGAAUUGGGAUCUGACAUAUUUUUCAUUACCAAGUGAUGAAGAGAGACGCAAACAAUGGUUAAUACUACUUGGAAGAGAAGACUUGUUAAAUAGAGAAAAUUUUAAACCCAAAAGUUACUCAGUUUGUUCUUCACAUUUUGAUCAGUCUCAAAUGAAACUGGUAAAGUAUCUCAAUUUAUCGGCAGUUCCAGUAAAAAACAUUGGACCGAAUUCAAAAAAUACCUCGGACAUAGAACCACCAUCUAAAAGAAUGCGACCUGAUGAGCCGACUGCUUCUACAAGUCAUGAUCUACACGGAGAACCCGGAACAUCCGUGCCUAUAUUGAACGAUCCGAUUCACAUAUACCCUGAAGAAGCUGAAGAUGACAUUGCAAUUAGAUUUCACAAGUUGAUCGAUUGGCAGAAUGAAUUAAAAAAAAGAGGAAAGGAUGAAUACGAAACAGAGUAUAAAAAUUUUGCAUAUAACUUGCUUAUUCAUAGUCCUCAUGCAUACCAAUGCUUAAAGACUAUAUUAAAAUUACCGACUAAACAAUCACUUUAUAAUUAUAAAUUAAACAUCCCGCCCAAUUUGGAUUUUAAAGUUCUUCAUCGCUUAGAAAUAAAGUUAAAGUCACUACCCGAUAGUGCCAAACAUUGUGUUAUUUAUAUUGAUAGAAUUCCACUAAAAAAACACAUAUACUAUGACACACAAAUCGAUGAAGUAACUGGAUUUCAUAAUAUUAAUGGCACAAAAAAAACUGAAAUGGCCAAAUAUGCAAUCGUACUUAUGUUACAAGGGGUGCAUUUUAAAUGGCAGCAACCAGUGGCAUAUGCCUUACAUGGUGAUGGAGAAUAUUAUCAAGAACUUGACAAAUGUUUGCAAAAUGUGGUUUCCAAACUAUCAGGAAUUGGAAUUAAAAUAAAAGCAAUAACAUUCGACGAUAGUUCUUAUUUUGUUAAAUUCGUUAAUGAUUAUAAAAAUAUAACAGUAGCAAGACCUUAUGCUGUAUAUGAUGGUGAAACACGUGUUUAUUUCAUAUUUAAUAUACCAAAUCUGAUGAAAAGUUUACGAAAUUAUUUACUUACAAGUGAAUUAUGUUACGGCGAGAAAAAUAUAUCUUGGUAUUUUAUUAAAACGCUUUUAAAUAAAGACGGAAAAUCAAUGCUAGUCCCAAAACUUACAAAGUCCCACAUUGAACCAAAUGAAGAAGAACGUAAAAAAAUUCAGUAUGCUGUGGAAAUUUUUAGCCGAUCAGUUUCAACUGCACUAAUGGCAUUCAUUGAGUUCGGGCAACUAUCUGAAGAAGCUAGACCGACCGCACUUUUUAUUGAAACUAUAAAUAAUUUAUUUGAUGUUCUAAAUUCAAGCAAAUUGGAAUCUGAAAAUGAAUUUCAAAGUGCUUUUAGAAUGACUGAAGCUCAGAAAAACAUUUUGGAAGCAGCGACAGAAUUGUUUGAGACUAUAAAAAAAUCGACAGGCCAAAUAGACAUGAUAGAACAAUUCCAGCUAUCUAUCGAAUCUAUUAAAAUGUUAUACGAAGACCAAACAAAAGAAGGAUUUUCCUAUAUAUUGACGAAGCAACUUAAUAGAGACUGCAUUGACAAUUUUGUUGAAACUCUUCAACAGCAUAAGUUGCACAGUUGUACACCAAUAUUUUUGCGAAGACGAUUCUCAAAGUUAUUUUCAAGGUAUUUGAUGAAAACAUACUCCUCUGUCCACACAAUUCGUGGGUUAGACUUUUGUGAUGUACUGUCCAAGGCUGAACUCAUGAUUAACUUUACAUUGGAGAAGACACUUGAAUCACAACCGAUGUCUGAGAUAGCACUGAGCUUUGAAAAAGACUAUCAGAUGGACUUACCUGAACACAACACACUAAUCUAUAUAUCUAGUUACCUACUUUACAAGUGCUCCAGAAAACAUAAAUGUGAUGUUUUUGACCGAUUCUUGCAUACUUGUAGGAAAUUGAAUGACUCGAGUUUGUUUUCCAGAGAUUUAAAUAAAAAAUCUGGAUUUUACGGCAAUUUGAAAAUACCACGAAGGGAAUUUAUAGAUUACAUCCAGUCUUUAGAAGCGAUUAUCACUCAAAAUUUAUACAGAAUUAUUAAGAAGAAUCCUGGUUCUCACCUUUUCAAAUUAUUAGGAACAGUUCAGCACAAGAUGCCCUGCACGUGUUUUCCAGUGAGUUAUCUCUUGAAACUAUUUGUGAGAUUACGGAUAUAUGCAACUCUUAAAUUUAACAACAGCUGUGGCGACACUGAAAAGUUCCUUAAAAUAAAACAUUUUUGAUAUUAUUUUUAAGACGUUGGAAGAGUAGGGAACUUUUUUGUAAUUAAUACGUAAACCUUAUAAUAAAACAGAUUUAUAAGAGAA